UACAGAGGGUGCAAGCGUUGUUCGGAUUCAUUGGGCGUAAAGGGUGCGUAGGUGGCGUGGUAAGUCGGGUGUGAAAUUUCGGAGCUUAACUCCGAAACUGCAUUCGAUACUGCUGUGCUUGAGGACUGGAGAGGAGACUGGAAUUUACGGUGUAGCAGUGAAAUGCGUAGAGAUCGUAAGGAAGACCAGUGGCGAAGGCGGGUCUCUGGACAGUUCCUGACACUGAGGCACGAAGGCCAGGGGAGCAAACGGG
rnacentral:rRNA from 1 species